UACAGAGACUGCAAGCGUUAUUCGGAUUCACUGGGCGUAAAGGGUGCGCAGGCGGUUGUGUGUGUCAGGUGUGAAAGCCCGGGGCUUAACCCCGGAAUUGCGCCUGAAACUACAUGACUAGAGCAUUGGAGAGGGUAGCGGAAUUCACGGUGUAGCAGUGAAAUGCGUAGAUAUCGUGAGGAACACCAGAGGCGAAGGCGGCUACCUGGACAAUUGCUGACGCUCAGGCACGAAAGCCGUGGGGAGCAAAAGGG
rnacentral:rRNA from 1 species